GAAACUUACCAUUUCCUCUUGAUAGUGGCUUUAUGGGAAUGAGAAUUUAAAAAGGGGAUUAAGAAGAGAUUAGGCCAUUUGGCCGUGACCUAGAGAGGAGAUAGAGAGAGAGAGGAGGCGAGCUAGAGAGAGAGAAAGCAAGGGCUGCAAUAUUUUCUAGAGAAGAAGAAGAAGAAAAGAAAGAGAAGGAGAAGAAGAAGAGGGUUUCGAACCCUAGGUGACAAGAGGUUUUCUUGCUAUUGUGUUCUUGAUUUUACAAUCAAGAGAGGUAGCAAAUAGGAUUUCUGUAUGGCACACGUGGUGAUGUGAGGAGUUCUUUCAUCAUGGGGUGUAUGACGUGGGGUAAUCCUAUGGACGGAAAAACGAUCAACGUAGAACGUCAUUUAAAUUAUGUUUUGUUUUUAAGAGACUUUUCCUAAAUUAUUAGUGGGACUCAGUUAUUUAAUUUUUGGUUUCUUUGAACUUUGCAUAAAAAUCUAUGUUUUAUUUUAAAACUUAUGGCGCCCACUUGCAUGGUUUUAAAC